rnacentral:lncRNA from 1 species
GUCAAUUCCAAACGGAAGAGGGAGAAACGAGGAGUGCUCUGUUAGCUGGACACAGGGGAUGAGGAUGAAGUUUCGGAUGGAGAAGGAUGCGGACGCGAGAUGAACUCGGGAUGUUGGGAAAGCUGGACUCUAUUUUGAAGCUUAAAACAGGGGAGGAAAGGGAUGACGUGGAAGCUUGUUCUCUAAGCACUUAAAGGGUGACGUGGACAUGGGUUCAGCUGCAAACG